CACUAACAACAAAUCAACGAUAUCAGCAUCACAAUUUCAAAGCAACAGCUUCGGUAAAACCCAGCAGUAACGACAACUCACCAGCCAACGUUCAAUUCGUACCGAUCAGUAGGAAUCCAGCUCAUCCAACCUCAUUUACUCUUGAAUUCAAAAUUUUCCCUUCCAAAUUUCAAAAUUAUCCUCAAAAAACCCCUCUCCCCCUCCACUGUUCAAAAGGAGGUUUUCGGUACCAAAAAGAAGGGCUGAAAAUUUACUUUUUUUUUUUUUUUUUCAUUCGGUGUUUGGUCCUGAUUAAUCUGGAUCGCACGUGGCAGCGCUCCCAACAGAAUUUCUCCAUAUUCAGGAUCGAACCUCGAUAUCUGGUUAAGAGUGGAGCAGUCCGUCCAGUGCACCGCAACCCAUGUUGGUGCUGAAAAUUCACUUUACUCCGCUAGGAUUUUGGACCUCGGUCCCCAGCCUGGAGUUGUGAGAAUUUCGGCUCAAUUUGCAGUUUUUCUUGCUGUUCUCUAGUGAGGAAAGAGGUGGAAGUUGAGCCUUUCAACUGGCCAUCCCAGUGACUGCCCAUAAAAAGAUCCAUAGAUUGAGGAACAAAGAGGUCCCCUUGGUUAAAGUUUUGUGGCGGAACCAGUCAGUUUAGGGCGCUACUUGGAAGGUAGAAGCACACAUGCGAGUCAAGUACCCUCACCUCUUUUCCACGAAUUCAGAUCAAUCUGAAGCACAAAGACAUUCAAGGAUUGAGGAGUGGAGCAGUUCAUGGAUGGCUUGAGACUCUAAUUUGGUAUCGAGUUCAUCUCUCAAGAACACAAUAGGAGAAAAAUAACCGAGGGUUAAACAUUCAAGACCAAGGGUUCAAUCUUUCGCAAAUUCUUUAUCACUAAGGUCCCAAAACUUCAUCUACUUUACCUGCACAGUGAUUAGGUGUUCGAGUGGUUCGUGAGUUGACAUUGAAGCGGAUGAAUUGUUGAUGAGUUUUGUCUCAAUUGAAUGCAUGAUGAGAAACAAAUGAUAAUUAUUGCUGGAGAAGGAUUUUAUGGUGUGGAAAUGACACUGACAAUGAGCUUUGAGAGGAGAAAUUAUUUGAAGAAUAUAUUUUUCCUUAGUCAAAAUUCUAAGCAACAAUUCCAGUGAGGGUCUGCAAAAUAGGCGCAGCACAGACCUCUCCCUACAUGCUAUGAAGCGUGGUGCAGGGCUCUUCCUACGUGAUACGAUGAGUGGUGUGGAGAAUUCCCCACUGGUCAAACCCAUGCGACACGGAGUUUAUCCAUGCUAGGCCAAUUUGGUUCAACUAUAAAAGAAGCACUUAAUUACAAUUGGGACUACUUUUUGGCAUGUACUGCAGAGGCAAAAACACCAUUAAUACUUUUUUUUGGGUUCUUUGAACUUCAUUAUUUGAAGAUUACUUUUGGGUAUGUUUGAUUACUUGUUUUUGAUAUUGAAUUCAAGCAUGAGUGGCUAAACACCCUUGUUUUGGGGUUGAGGCCAAAGACAUGAUUGAUCUUUGAUAUUCUUUAUUAUAGUUUCUUGUUGGAUUA